GACGAACGCUGGCGGCGUGCUUAACACAUGCAAGUCGAACGGUAAGGCCCUUCGGGGUACACGAGUGGCGAACGGGUGAGUAACACGUGGGUGAUCUGCCCUGCACUUCGGGAUAAGCCUGGGAAACUGGGUCUAAUACCGGAUAGGACCACUGCCUGCAUGGGUGGUGGUGGAAAGCUUUUGCGGUGUGGGAUGGGCCCGCGGCCUAUCAGCUUGUUGGUGGGGUGAUGGCCUACCAAGGCGACGACGGGUAGCCGGCCUGAGAGGGUGACCGGCCACACUGGGACUGAGAUACGGCCCCGACUCCUACGGGAGGCAGCAGUGGGGAAUAUUGCACAAUGGGCGCAAGCCUGAUGCAGCGACGCCGCGUGAGGGAUGACGGCCUUCGGGUUGUAAACCUCUUUCAGCACCGACGAAGCGCGAGUGACGGUAGGUGCAGAAGAAGGACCGGCCAACUACGUGCCAGCAGCCGCAGUAA
rnacentral:rRNA from 1 species